rnacentral:misc_RNA from 1 species
GCAAACUUGGUCAUUUAGAGGAAGUAAAAGUCGUAACAAGGUCUCCGUUGGUGAACCAGCGGAGGGAUCAUUACAAAAGAGUGAAAACUCGCCAAACCCACUGUUAAUUAUAUCUUUGUUGCUUCGGCAGGCGGCCCCAGGGCGGGGCCUUUAGGCCUUUUGGUGCCUGCCGAUGGCAUUUUAAACUCUUGUUUAUCUUGCUACUCUGAGUUAAAUACAAAAUAAAUUAAAACUUUCAGCAACGGAUCUCUUGGUUCUGGCAUCGAUGAAGAACGCAGC